rnacentral:rRNA from 1 species
AUUGAACGCUGGCGGCAUGCUUUACACAUGCAAGUCGAACGGCAGCGCGGGCUUCGGCCUGGCGGCGAGUGGCGAACGGGUGAGUAAUGCAUCUGAACGUGCCCAGUAGGGGGGGAUAGCCCGGCGAAAGCCGUAUUAAUACCGCAUACUACCUGAGGGUGAAAGCGGGGGAGCGAAAGGCCGCGCGCUAUGGUAGCGGCCGAUGUCGGAUUAGCUAGUUGGUGGGGUAAAGGCUUACCAAGGCGGCGAUCCGUAGCUGGUCUGAGAGGACGAACAGCCACACGGGGAGUGAGACACGGCCCAGACUACUGAGGGAGGCCGCAGUGGCGAAUGUUAGACAAUGGGGGCGAAUAUGAUACAGCCAUGCCGCGUGUGGGACGACGGCCUUCGGGUUGUAAACCGCUUUUGUUCGGGAAGAAAUCCUCUGGGCUAAUACGAAGGGGGGAUGACGGUACCGGAAGAAUAAGCACCGGCUAACUACGUG